AGUGAACGCUGGCGGUAGGCCUAACACAUGCAAGUCGAACGGCAGCACAGUAAGAGCUUGCUCUUACGGGUGGCGGGUGGCGGACGGGUGAGGAAUACAUCGGAAUCUACUUUUUCGUGGGGGAUAACGUAGGGAAACUUACGCUAAUACCGCAUACGACCUACGGGUGAAAGCAGGGGAGCUUCGGACCUUGCGCGAUUGAAUGAGCCGAUGUCGGAUUAGCUAGUUGGCGGGGUAAAGGCCCACCAAGGCGACGAUCCGUAGCUGGUCUGAGAGGAUGAUCAGCCACACUGGAACUGAGACACGGUCCAGACUCCUACGGGAGGCAGCAGUGGGGAAUAUUGGACAAUGGGCGCAAGCCUGAUCCAGCCAUACCGCGUGGGUGAAGAAGGCCUUCGGGUUGUAAAGCCCUUUUGUUGGGAAAGAAAAGCAGCAGGUUAAUACCCCGCUGUUCUGACGGUACCCAAAGAAUAAGCACCGGCUAACUUCGUG
rnacentral:rRNA from 1 species